UACAGAGGGUGCGAGCGUUAAUCGGAAUUACUGGGCGUAAAGGGUGCGUAGGUGGUUAAAUAAGUUAGGUGUGAAAUUCCCGGGCUUAACCUGGGGACUGCGCCUAAUACUGUUUAGCUAGAGUAUUGUAGAGGAAAGUGGAAUUUCCGGUGUAGCGGUGAAAUGCGUAGAGAUCGGAAAGAACACCAACGGCGAAAGCACUCUGCUGGGCCGACACUGACACUGAGAGACGAAAGCUAGGGGAGCGAAUGGG
rnacentral:rRNA from 1 species